rnacentral:rRNA from 1 species
AUUGAACGCUGGCGGCAGGACUAACACAUGCAAGUCGCGCGAGCGGCGGACGGGGGAGUACUGUAUGGGGACUGCCCGAUAGAGGGGGAUCACUACUGGACGCGGUGGCUAAUACCGCAUAAUGUCCGAUAACCCAUAGGGGAUUAGCUAGUAGGUAAGGUAAUGGCUUACCUAGGCGACGAUCCCUAGCUGGUCUGAGAGGAUGAUAAGCCACACGGGGACUGAGACACGGCCCAGACUCCUACGGAGGCAGCAGUGGGGAAUAUUGCAAAAGGGGCGCAAGCGUGAUGCAGCGAUGCCGCGUGUAUGAAGAAGGCACUAGGGUUGUAAAGUACUUUCAGUCGGGAGGCGUUACCGACAGAAGAAGCACCUGCUAACUCCGUGCCAGCAGCCGCGGUAAUUC